GAAACUCUCAAAUUCUCCCCCGGUUUGGAAAUGGCUGAUGCCUUUGGGGAGAAAAUUCUGCGUUCGAUGGACAUGGGUAUGACUAUACAGCAUCAGCCAUGGGAACAUCAAUUGCCUUGGGAACCGAUGUGGGGAAAAAACUGUAAUUGCUUCUAAGUCGCUUAAAGGAAGCUCUCAGAUGCUAGAAUCAAGCUCUGGAAAUAGACUGGAAAGGGCUGGAAGGUCACAAUGAAACCUGCCUGUUCAAGGUUUGAUAAGACUAAACAGUCCAAAGAUUUGACAGUCCUGACACCUGGCAUAUGAAAGAUGGAAUUCCUGAAUGGAAAUUAUUCUUACUGAACUUCUCUGAAGAGUUUUGGCUGGAAAGAAGUAUCUUUUCCAAUGCCAGUACAUU